GAAAUGCGAUAAGUAAUGUGAAUUGCAGAAUUCAGUGAAUCAUCGAAUCUUUGAACGCACCUUGCGCUCCUUGGUAUUCCUUGGAGCAUGCCUGUUUGAGUAUCAUGAAAUCUUCAAAGUAAAUCUUUUUUUAACUCAAUUGGUUUCUACUUUGGUAUUGGAGGUCUUUGCAGCUUCACACCUGCUCCUCUUUGUUCAUUAGCUGGAUCUCAGUGUUAUGCUUGGUUCCACUCGGCGUGAUAAGUUAUCUAUCGCUGAGGACACUGUAAAAGGUGGCCAAGGUAAAUGCAGAUGAACCGCUUCUAAUAGUCCAUUGACUUGGACAAUUCUUUUAUGAUCUGAUCUCAAAUCAGGUAGGACUACCCGCUGAACUUAAGC
rnacentral:misc_RNA from 1 species